GUUGUAUAGUCAAGUAAUUAAGUGCAUGUGGUGGAUGCCUUGGCAGUCAGAGGCGAUGAUAGACGUGAUAGCCUGCGAAAAGCUCCGGGGAGGCGGCAAAUAUCCUUUGAUCCGGAGAUGUCUGAAUGGGGGAACCCACCUACUUUAAGGUAGGUAUUGCAACAUGAAUACAUAGUGUUGCAAGGCGAACGAGGGGAAGUGAAACAUCUCAGU
rnacentral:rRNA from 1 species